AGAUCCUGGGGAGGGGCAGAGAACAAACAUUGGGCUGUCUGACUGGAGUCCCACCCGACACAAGACAACGACACUGGUGGACUUUCUGGGUCUGCGUGCUCUGCCUGUAUUGUCCACCACUCCUCCGUCCUCUGGGGGAUUAGAAUGGGCGGUACAGAGCACAACGACAGACCUCACUCAUGAGGUAGCCAGAUUGUAUUCAAAGCCCGUCUAUGGCACGUGCAAAGAAACAGGUGGAGAACCCACGCCAGCCCUGUCUGCCUGGGAUACCGUCCCUCUCAGCGACUAACCAGGAACUCAGCCCACCUGCCUGCCCCUUUCCGACACCACUUUGCUGGGCUCAGCUUCAUGACCCUGAACUGAGCAACAAAGUUGAGAAACCAUUGCGACUGAACCAUUGGGAAUUGGGCUGCCGACUGAGGACCAAAGCCUCAACCUGGAGUUUCUAGGAGUGAAAGAAGACAGCAGUAUAGGGUAUGAGGUGUAAGACCCAGAAGCAAGCUGUCACAAUCACCAUCCCAAUGCUGACAGAUGGGACGUGAGAGAGGUUCUCAUGAGUCCCAUGCUAGCCUGAGGGCAACCUUAAACUUCUGCCCUGCCUGCCUCCACCUCCUGUGUGCUGGGACUACAGGCACCCAUAUAAAGAGAGGAAACAAGCAACAGUAUUCCCUUCUAUCAGGGGUCUUCCAGCCAGCCCGUGACCCAUCGUGACCUCUACCAUCCUGGGGCAAGGCUUUGAAAUAUGGAAAGAGGAGGCCUUUGAGAAGCAAGAAGAGGAGAAAGCCAGCCUAGUCCAUAAACAAAGAGAAGAGGCUAGAGGGCAGCUGGCUCAGCUACGAUGAUGAAGAUGACAUGGCCAGGGACUGCAGGGAACCGAGUGAUCCAGUCCUAAGGACGGAGAGCUCUCCUUCUCCUAAGUCCCAGGGACAGGCUUCUGCAUACUCUGUCAACUGAGGCACACAAGACACCCAUCGGUGACAGAUACACUCCCCUACAGAAGCUGUACUCUUUGGGGACACUCAGGCCCCCACUUUCUCCCGACUCCUACUCAUCAGGAUCCCUCUUUGCUCUGUAUCUUCUUGGGUUUCUAUUUAAAGGCAGAGAGGUCACUAAGUUCAAGCCCUAGCACUGGGAACGUCAGACAGACCUCCAAGGACGUUAGUGGGCCACGGGCACUUUUACCUCACUUUGGAAACAUUACAACAUUAGGGUGCCUUUGUGCCAAGACAGCGCCCACUGAGCCCAGCCUCUUACCUGAUGCCCAGCAGCUCUGUAAGGUUACAGUGCGUGGCUUUUUGUCUUUGUUCUUAUUCUAUAAUGAACUAAUAUACACACUUUAUAUUUAGCUUGGAGGGAAGUUCUUAAGAGCUCCUGUACUGGCUUGUGUGUCAACUUGACACAAGCUAGAGUCAGCAGAGAGAAAGGAGCCUCAGCUGAGGAAAUGCCUCCAUGAGAUCCAGCUGUAAGGCAUUGUCUCAAAUUAGUGAUCAAUAAGGGGAGGGCAGGUGGUGCCAUCCCUGGGCUGGUGGUCCUGGGUUCUAUAAGAAAGUAGCCUGAGCAAGUCAGUAGACCUCAGCCUUGCCAGGCCUCUGCAUCAGCUCCUGCCUCCAGGUGCCUGCCCUGCUUGUCCUGACUUCCUUUGGUGAUGAACAGCAACGUGGAAGCUGAAUAAACCCUUCCCUCUC